UGCCGAGCUUUUUUACGUCA
rnacentral:siRNA from 1 species